rnacentral:rRNA from 1 species
GUGAAAUUGAACUCGCUGUGAAGAUGCAGUGUACCCGCGGCAAGACGGAAAGACCCCGUGAACCUUUACUAUAGCUUGACACUGAACAUUGAGCCUUGAUGUGUAGGAUAGGUGGGAGGCUUUGAAGCGUGGACGCCAGUCUGCGUGGAGCCGACCUUGAAAUACCACCCUUUAAUGUUUGAUGUUCUAACGUGGACCCGUU